rnacentral:sRNA from 1 species
UUUUCUAGGACUCAAGAUACCAUCUCAAUCUAAGUGUUUUACGUUUCCUCGCUGUUUGUGCCAGAGAUUUACAAUUACCGAAAGUGGAAUCCAUCAAUCUACAAACUGAAGCCUUGGCGUUGUGGAGAGUUUCUGCUACGUAUGGAAUCUCAACUUCAAUUUACUUUGACCUUUACAGCAAUAUUGUCUCCUUGAUUAGCAGACUUGAAGUCACAUGGUCAUCUGCGGAAGAUAGCGACUCACU